CCCCACCCAUUCCUUCUAUUCAAAGAACUCUUGGGCUUGGAGACAGAAGGGGAGACAGAAGGGGAGCAACGUGGACGCUACACAGUCUGGCAAUAUCAAGGCUGAUUGCAUUACUAGGAGCCAGAAGAUCCACUUCCUAGAUGCUCAAGACACCCACUCUUCUCAUCGCCUAGCUCUGGACUGUUUGUCGGACUAACUACUGCUCCCAGGACCCCCAGAAAAUACCCUGCAAGGCUCUUGGAAACCUGGGGAAGAGGGAGGUACUCACAAGCACACCUACAUAUUUAUCAUGUUGGGUAUAAGUUAUUCCAAUUAAAUUUACAUAUAUCAACAUGAACACCAGAUGGAAAGAACUUAAUAAUUUAGAAAACGACCCCUGUAGCCUUAUGUGAAGGUUCAUUGCUAGUACCCAGAGCCCCCUAUGACCUUCCCAAUGAUAAAUCCACUCUCCCCCAUAACCCCUGAAGGUAUACAUCACCAAGAGAUGUUCUCUUUACCAGCUUUUUUCUUCUUUUAAAUAGGUCCUGUUUACAUAGCCUUGUGAACUUCCAGUCUUAACCUCUCAAAUUAUGGGAUUAAAGAUGUGCA